GCAGUGGAGGCGGUAGCAGCUAGCUAAGCACUCAAAUUGCCAGCCAGCCGCCUUUCGUAGCGAUAGCUGGCCUGACGAGGGAAAUGGCAAACAAUCACUGGCUGAAACUUAGCCUUCGUUUUGAACUACGUUUGUAUGAGUGGCUCAAUGAGUUAAAUCUCCAGUUACAAGGCUAAGACAAGCACCUACCUCACCUAGCAGAUCUAAGAUUACUGCAUUCACCAAAAAACUUGAGGUGCCGCUUCACUCUGCUACUGAAGGAUCAGGCUGACUGCAACUGCUAUGGAUGGCAGGAAAACACAGUACACGUGAAUUUCUAGAUGAAGAGUGAAUAAAUGCACUUGCUUAACUGAUAA